rnacentral:rRNA from 1 species
UACGGAGGGAGCUAGCGUUGUUCGGAAUUACUGGGCGUAAAGCGCACGUAGGCGGCUUUUUAAGUCUGGGGUGAAAUCCCGGGGCUCAACCCCGGAACUGCCCUUGAAACUGGAGAGCUAGAAUCUUGGAGAGGCGAGUGGAAUUCCGAGUGUAGAGGUGAAAUUCGUAGAUAUUCGGAAGAACACCAGUGGCGAAGGCGACUCGCUGGACAAGUAUUGACGCUGAGGUGCGAAAGCGUGGGGAGCAAACAGG